GACGAACGCUGGCGGCGUGCUUAACACAUGCAAGUCGAACGGAAAGGCCCUGCUUUUGUGGGGUGCUCGAGUGGCGAACGGGUGAGUAACACGUGAGUAACCUGCCCUUGACUUUGGGAUAACUUCAGGAAACUGGGGCUAAUACCGGAUAGGAGCUCCUGCUGCAUGGUGGGGGUUGGAAAGUUUCGGCGGUUGGGGAUGGACUCGCGGCUUAUCAGCUUGUUGGUGGGGUAGUGGCUUACCAAGGCUUUGACGGGUAGCCGGCCUGAGAGGGUGACCGGCCAAAUUGGGACUGAGAUACGGCCCAGAAUACUACGGGAGGCAGCAGUGGGGAAUAUUGCACAAUGGGCGGAAGCCUGAUGCAGCAACGCCGCGUGCGGGAUGACGGCCUUCGGGUUGUAAACCGCUUUCGCCUGUGACGAAGCGUGAGUGACGGUAAUGGGUAAAGAAGCACCGGCUAACUACGUG
rnacentral:rRNA from 1 species